rnacentral:lncRNA from 10 species
GCCUGACAACCUGGCCUUCUCUCUGCCUUCGUUAGGAGGGAGGCUGCUCAAACCACAGCUCACCACAGCUCACCACAGCUCACCACAGAGGCCAAGCUGGGUGUGCCUCUGUGGAGCAGCGGCAGGAGCCGGCUGAACACAGCCAGGACCAGUUUCCCCAGGGGCCAAAUGCAACCUGUUCUCCAUUGCAUCUUCCCCACUGGUGGGCAAAUUGUGUUGGGCUUCUGUGAGGCCCCAUGAAGAUUUCAAGAUGUUCACGCAGAGUCUGUCGAGCUCACCUCUGGAUACCCCAGCUCCUACACGAAGCAAAUGUUUCUUUUUUUAUUUUUUGAGACAGUCUCACUGUGUUGCCCAUGCUGGAGUGCAGUGUCCCAAUCUUGGCUCACUGCAGCCUCCGCCUCCCGGGUUCAAGUGAUUCUCCUGCCUCAGCCUUCUGAGUAGCUGGGACUUCAGGUGUGUGCCACCACACCUGGUUAAAUUUUGUAUUUUUAGUAGAGACGAGGUUUCACCAUGUUGGCCAGGCUGGUCUGGAACUCCUGACCUCAGGUGACCCACCUGCCUUGACCUCCCAAAGUGCUGGGAUUACAGGUGUGAGCCAUUACGCCUGGCCCUGAUGUUUCUUUCUUUUUUUCUUUUUUUUUGAGAUGGAGUCUUACUCUGUCGCCCAGGCUGGGGUGCGGUGGCGCGACCUCAAUUCACUGCAACCUCCACCUCCCGGAUUCAAGUGAUUCUCCUGCCUCAGCCCCCCACGUAGCUGGGAUUACAGGCCAGCACCGCCACGCCUGGUUAAUUUUUGUAUUUUUAGUAGAGAUGGGGUUUCACCAGUUGGCCAGGCUGGUCUUGAACUCCUGACCUACAGUGAUCCACCCACCUCGGCCUCUUAAAGUGCUGGGAUUACAGGCAUGAACCACCAUGCCUGGCCCAAGCCAACGUUUCUACAGGUUUGAAGAACAGAAGCGUGAACAGUUCCUUUGCAACCUCUCCCUGGCUUUUCGCUUUUGGGGUUAGAGUUAAGCUCCAUGGCUGAAGGACCCAGACUUGAGAAAAAAUACAAAGUCAACAGAAUUUGGAG